rnacentral:rRNA from 1 species
CCCUUAGAUGUUCUGGGCCGCACGCGCGCUACACUGAUGCAUUCAACGAGCCCAUCCUUGACCGACAGGUCCGGGUAAUCUUUGAAUCUGCAUCGUGACGGGGUUAGAUUAUUGCAAUUAUUAAUCUUCAACGAGGAAUGCCUAGUAGGCGCAAGUCAUCAGCUUGCGUCGAUUACGUCCCUGCCCUUUGUUCACACCGCCCGUCGCUCCUACCGAUUGGGUGUGCUGGUGAAAUGUUCGGAUCGGCCGUUUGUCGCGGUUUCCGCGUCAUGUGGCUGAGAAGUUCAUUAAACCCUCCCACCUAGAGGAAGGAGAAGUCGUAACA